rnacentral:rRNA from 1 species
UACGUAGGUGGCAAGCGUUACUCGGAAUCACUAGGCGUAAAGCGCAGGUAGGAGGUUUGGUAAGUCUAUUGUGAAAGCUCCCGGCUUAACUGGGAGAGGUCAAUGGAAACUACCAGGCUGGAGUGCGGUAGAGGUGGCUGGAAUUCCCGGUGUAGCGGUGAAAUGCGUAGAUAUCGGGAGGAAUACCUAUGGCGAAAGCAGGCUACUGGACCGUCACUGACUCUGAUCUGCGAAAGCUAGGGGAGCAAACAGG